AGAGUUUGAUCCUGGCUCAGGAUGAACGCUGGCGGCGUGCCUAAUACAUGCAAGUCGAACGAAACUUCUUUAUCACCGAGUGCUUGCACUCACCGAUAAAGAGUUGAGUGGCGAACGGGUGAGUAACACGUGGGCAACCUGCCCAAAAGAGGGGGAUAACACUUGGAAACAGGUGCUAAUACCGCAUAACCAUAGUUACCGCAUGGUAACUAUGUAAAAGGUGGCUAUGCUACCGCUUUUGGAUGGGCCCGCGGCGCAUUAGCUAGUUGGUGAGGUAAAGGCUUACCAAGGCAAUGAUGCGUAGCCGAACUGAGAGGUUGAUCGGCCACAUUGGGACUGAGACACGGCCCAAACUCCUACGGGAGGCAGCAGUGGGGAAUCUUCCGCAAUGGACGAAAGUCUGACGGAGCAACGCCGCGUGAGUGAUGACGGCCUUCGGGUUGUAAAGCUCUGUUGUUGGAGAAGAAUGGUCGGCAGAGUAACUGUUGUCGGCGUGACGGUACCGGAAUAGAAAGCCACGGCUAACUACGUGCCAGCAGCCGCGGUAAUACGUAGGUGGCAAGCGUUAUCCGGAUUUAUUGGGCGUAAAGCGAGCGCAGGCGGUUUCUUAAGUCUGAUGUGAAAGCCCCCGGCUCAACCGAGGAAGUGCAUCGGAAACUGGGAAACUUGAGUGCAGAAGAGGACAGUGGAACUCCAUGUGUAGCGGUGAAAUGCGUAGAUAUAUGGAAGAACACCAGUGGCGAAGGCGGCUGUCUGGUCUGUAACUGACGCUGAGGCUCGAAAGCGUGGGGAGCAAACAGGAUUAGAUACCCUGGUAGUCCAUGCCGUAAACGAUGAAUGCUAGGUGUUGGAGGGUUUCCGCCCUUCAGUGCCGCAGCUAACGCAUUAAGCAUUCCGCCUGGGGAGUACGACCGCAAGGUUGAAACUCAAAGGAAUUGACGGGGGCCCGCACAAGCGGCGGAGCAUGCGGAUUAAUUCGAUGCAACGCGAAGAACCUUACCAGGUCUUGACAUCUUUUGAUCACCUGAGAGAUCAGGUUUCCCCUUCGGGGGCAAAAUGACAGGUGGUGCAUGGUUGUCGUCAGCUCGUGCCGGGAGAUGUUGGGUUAAGUCCCGCAACGAGCGCAACCCUUAUUGUUAGUUGCUACGCAAGAGCACUCUAGCGAGACUGCCGUUGACAAAACGGAGGAAGGUGGGGACGACGUCAAAUCAUCAUGCCCCUUAUGUCCUGGGCUAUACACGUAAUACAAUGGCGGUCAACAGAGGGAUGCAAAACCGUGAGGUGGAGCGAACCCCUAAAAGCCGUCCCAGUUCAGAUCGCAGUCUGCAACCCGACUGCGUGAAGUCGGAAUCGCUAGUAAUCGCGGAUCAGCAUGCCGCGGUGAAUACGUUCCCGGGCCUUGCACACACCGCCCGUCA
rnacentral:rRNA from 1 species